GCUUGCUUCGGCAGUGCAUACACUCAAGUUGGAACAUUACAGAGAAAAUUAGCAUGGCCCCUGACCAAGGAUGACAUGCACAUUUGUGAAGCAUUCCAUAUUACA